rnacentral:rRNA from 1 species
AGCGAACGCUGGCGGCAGGCCUAACGCAUGCAAGUCGAACGAACUCUUCGGAGUUAGUGGCGGACGGGUGAGUAACACGUGGGAACGUGCCUUUUGGUUCGGAAUAACUCAGGGAAACUUGUGCUAAUACCGAAUGUGCCCUUCGGGGGAAAGAUUUAUCGCCAUUAGAGCGGCCCGCGUCUGAUUAGCUAGUUGGUGAGGUAACGGCUCACCAAGGCGACGAUCAGUAGCUGGUCUGAGAGGAUGACCAGCCACACUGGGACUGAGACACGGCCCAGACUCCUACGGGAGGCAGCAGUGGGGAAUCUUGCGCAAUGGGCGAAAGCCUGACGCAGCCAUGCCGCGUGAAUGAUGAAGGUCUUAGGAUUGUAAAAUUCUUUCACCGGGGACGAUAAUGACGGUACCCGGAGAAGAAGCCCCGGCUAACUUCGUG